UGAACGCUGGCGGCGUGCUUAACACAUGCAAGUCGAACGGUGAAGCCAAGCUUGCUUGGUGGAUCAGUGGCGAACGGGUGAGUAACACGUGAGCAACCUGCCCUGGACUCUGGGAUAAGCGCUGGAAACGGCGUCUAAUACUGGAUAUGAGCUCUCAUCGCAUGGUGGGGGUUGGAAAGAUUUUUCGAUCUGGGAUGGGCUCGCGGCCUAUCAGCUUGUUGGUGAGGUAAUGGCUCACCAAGGCGUCGACGGGUAGCCGGCCUGAGAGGGUGACCGGCCACACUGGGACUGAGACACGGCCCAGACUCCUACGGGAGGCAGCAGUGGGGAAUAUUGCACAAUGGGCGGAAGCCUGAUGCAGCAACGCCGCGUGAGGGAUGACGGCCUUCGGGUUGUAAACCUCUUUUAGCAGGGAAGAAGCGGGAGUGACGGUACCUGCAGAAAAAGCGCCGGCUAACUACGUGCCAGCAGCCGCGGUAAUACGUAGGGCGCAAGCGUUAUCCGGAAUUAUUGGGCGUAAAGAGCUCGUAGGCGGUUUGUCGCGUCUGCUGUGAAAUCCCGAGGCUCAACCUCGGGCCUGCAGUGGGUACGGGCAGACUAGAGUGCGGUAGGGGGAGAUUGGAAUUCCUGGUGUAGCGGUGGAAUGCGCAGAUAUCAGGAGGAACACCGAUGGCGAAGGCAGAUCUCUGGGCCGUAACUGACGCUGAGGAGCGAAAGGGUGGGGAGCAAACAGGCUUAGAUACCCUGGUAGCCCACCCCGUAAACGUUGGGAACUAGUUGUGGGGACCAUUCCACGGUUUCCGUGACGCAGCUAACGCAUUAAGUUCCCCGCCUGGGGAGUACGGCCGCAAGGCUAAAACUCAAAGGAAUUGACGGGGACCCGCACAAGCGGCGGAGCAUGCGGAUUAAUUCGAUGCAACGCGAAGAACCUUACCAAGGCUUGACAUACACCAGAACACCGUAGAAAUACGGGACUCUUUGGACACUGGUGAACAGGUGGUGCAUGGUUGUCGUCAGCUCGUGUCGUGAGAUGUUGGGUUAAGUCCCGCAACGAGCGCAGCCCUCGUUCUAUGUUGCCAGCACGUAAUGGUGGGAACUCAUGGGAUACUGCCGGGGUCAACUCGGAGGAAGGUGGGGAUGACGUCAAAUCAUUAUGCCCCUUAUGUCUUGGGCUUCACGCAUGCUACAAUGGCCGGUACAAAGGGCUGCAAUACCGUGAGGUGGAGCGAAUCCCAAAAAGCCGGUCCCAGUUCGGAUUGAGGUCUGCAACUCGACCUCAUGAAGUCGGAGUCGCUAGUAAUCGCAGAUCAGCAACGCUGCGGUGAAUACGUUCCCGGGUCUUGUACACACCGCCCGUCAAGUCAUGAAAGUCGGUAACACCUGAAGCCGGUGGCCCAACCCUUGUGGAGGGAGCCGUCGAAGGUGGGAUCGGUAAUUAGGACUAAG
rnacentral:rRNA from 1 species